UACGUAGGAGACGAGCGUUGUCCGGAGUUACUGGGCGUAAAGGGUGCGCAGGCGGCCUUGCGCGUCGCGAGUGAAAUCUCCCGGCUCAACUGGGAGGGUGGUCGCGAGACGGCAGGGCUAGAGUCCGGUAGGGGCCCACGGAAUUCCUGGUGUAGCGGUGAAAUGCGCAGAUAUCAGGAGGAACACCGAUGGCGAAGGCAGUGGGCUGGGCCGGCACUGACGCUGAGGAGCGAAAGCGUGGGGAGCGAACAGG
rnacentral:rRNA from 1 species